rnacentral:rRNA from 1 species
AAUGAACGCUGGCGGCGCGCCUAAUACAUGCAAGUCGAGCGAGAAGACGUAGCAAUACGUUUGUAAAGCGGCGAACGGGUGAGGAAUACAUGGGUAACCUACCCUCGAGUGGGGAAUAACUAGCCGAAAGGUUAGCUAAUACCGCGUACGCUCCUUGGACUUCGGUUCAGGGAGGAAAGCGAUACCGUGGGUAUCGCGCUCUUGGUUGGGCUCAUGUCCUAUCAGCUUGUUGGUGAGGAACGGCUCACCAAGGCUUCGACGGGUAGCUGGUCUGAGAGGAUGGCCAGCCACACUGGGACUGAGACACGGCCCAGACUCCUACGGGAGGCAGCAGUGGGGAAUAUUGCGCAAUGGGGGGAAACCCUGACGCAGCGACGCCGCGUGGGUGAUGAAGGCCU